rnacentral:ncRNA from 2 species
AUGUAGAAUGAUUAUAUAGGUUAAUCAAAUUUUAAUUUUGGUUAUUAAAAGGGAAAUAGGUUAAAAUCCUAUACGGUCCCGCCGCCGUGAUGAGGAGUGUUUAUUUAUAUGCCACUGGAUAAUAUCUGGGAAGGUUAAUAAAUGCAGAGAUACUAAGUCGGAAUACCUGCCUAUGUAAUGGGCUUAUA